rnacentral:rRNA from 1 species
AGAAGGGUACGUUGGAAAGAGCUUCGACUGGUUAGGAAGAAGGUGCAAAGCACAAUUUUUAUUGAAAUUCUCUCUGCCUUCCAAAGGAAAGGUCGAUACACCACUUAAAAUGAAAAAUGAGAAAGAAUUAAUCUAGGCCUUUGAAUUCGGUGGACACCUUGGAUCAAUCGGGAGAAGAUAUUCUUUGACCGAGAUAAGACCAAGAUGCUCCUCUUCAGCUGAUGGUUCAAACCCAUAAAGAUAUGUGCGGCUGAAUUUGAAUGGAGACCGUGGUGGAACGGGGAAGACCUUUGGUUGACCUAGGGAGGGCGCGCGCGGCUCAUUCAAAAUGGUGAUCGAGGUUUGACCAAGCUCUGGGCAUCAAGGGAUUUGAUGUGUGCCAAUUUGAAAUGGAUGGUCUCGAUGCUCUCCUCUUCCGCUAGAAAUUUGAACAAACAUGGAUAUGCUCGGCUGAAUUUGAAUGGAGACCGUGGUUGACCGAGGAAGACCUUCGGUUGAUCGAGGGAGGGCGCGCGCGGCUCUUUCAAAAUGGUGACCGAGGCUUAACAACGUUGCAGGCUUCGAGGGAUCUCCAUUGAAUUUGGUGAGACCAAAGACGCUCCUCUUUAGCUGAAUGCGCGGCUGAAUUUGAAUGGAGACCAAGGUGGACCGGGGAAGACCUUCGGUUGACCGAGGAGGUGCGUGCGGCUUUUUCAAAUGGUCGACCGGGGGUUGGUCGAGCUCUGGGCUUUGAGGGAUGCACGCGUGGGCUCGUUCAAAUGAGUGACCUUGGGUUGGCGUGGGCCAAUUUGAAAUGGAUGCUCCGGUUGUCUUGGGUUGACCGAAUAAAUGUGCGUGCCUGGCUAAUUUGAAUGUAGAUCUGCUAUUGCUCAUGGGCUCGCGCGGUUUGUUCAAAUCGGCAACCUUGGGUUGACCGAGCUCAAGACAUCUUGGGAUUGGCUCGGGCCAAUUUAAACCGCAAUCUUUCCUUGACCAAAUAAUCCAAUUACUCGGAUAUUUAAGUUAGUGGCCAAUAAGAUCCAGCCUAGGACAUUGUGUUGACCGAAGCUCCUUCUUGGUUGACCAAGGUGUCCAACCAUGCGCGUUCCAUACUUAGCCAAAAUGUCCUCUUCCUCUAUGGGCCGGUUUUCCUUCCUUCUCUAACAAUUAUUGGACAAUAAAAAUAAGUAAAAAUAAAUGUGACCGAAAGUUGGCCCAAUGUGGCCAAAGACUCGGUCUUCAUGGGCGAGCACUCGAUCCGUGGGAAUUGGAUCGAGCUUUCUUCCAUGUCGGUCACUUAUUUCACUGGGCCGAAGUCUUAGAGGACUUCAGCAAGGCCGACGACCGUUUCUUCGCUGGUCGUCGGGUCAUGGUCGUGGGGUUGGGCUCCGGGUGUGUCGUGGCAAGGAGCCUCAGGCGCGUCACGGUCUGGCGCACCGGGUGAGUCAUGGCUGGGAGUACUCGGACACCGAUCAAGUACAACUCUUGGUCUCUCCCAAUCUGCUUCGGAAAUUGUCUCCGAGGUUAAGCUUCCUGCAAAUUGAGCACACAAAACUGGUACGGAUAAGGGGAUGGUUGAAAUUGGGUGUGCUCAUUGGGGCUAGACCAGUGAUGUACCCCAGUUGUAUAUCACGGCCGAAGACGGACUAGGAACGACUCCUUCGGGGGCCUUCCCCGGGCAUCGAACAAUCGACUCAGAACUGGUACGGAUAAGGGGAAUCCGACUAUUUAAUUAAAAGAAAGCAUUGUGAUGGUCCUUGCGGAUGCUCACGCAAUGUGAUUUCUGCCCAGUGCUCUGAAUGUCAAAGUGAAGAAAUUCAACCAAGCGCGGGUAAACGGUGGGAGUAACUAUGACUCUCUUAAGGUAGCCAAAUGCCUCGUCAUCUAAUUAGUUACGCGCAUGAAUGGAUUAAUCAGAUUCCCACUAUCCUGUCUACUAUCCAGCGAAACCACAGCUAAGGGAACGGGCUUGGCAGAAUCAGCCAGUAAAGAAGACCCUGUUGAGCUUGACUCUAGUCCGACACUGUGAAAUGAUUUGAAAGGUGUAGGAUAUGUGGAAGCCAGAAACGGUGAAAGGGAAAUACCACUACUUUUAACGUUAUUUUACUUAUUCCAUGAAUCGGAAGCGGGGCAACGCCCCUCUUUUUGGACCCAAGGCCCACCUCGGCGGGUUGAUCCGGGCGAAAGACAUUGUCAGGUGGGGAGUUUGGCUGGGGCGGCACAUCUGUUAAAAGAUAACGCAGGUGUCCUAAGAUGAGCUCAACGAGAACAAAAAUCUAUGGAACAAAAGGGUAAAAGCUCGUUUGAUUCUGAUUUCCAGUAUGAAUACGAACCGUGGAAGCGUGGCCUAUCAAUCCUUUAGACCUUCGGAAUUUGAAGCUAGAGGUGUCAGAAAAGUUACCACAGGGAUAACUGUCUUGUAGCACCCAAGCGUUCAUAGCGACGUUGCUUUUUAAUCCUUCGAUGUCGGCUCUUCCGAUCAUUGUGUAGCAGAAUUCACAAAGUGUUGGAUUAUUCACCCACCAAUAGGGAACGUGAGCUGGGUUUAGACCAUCGUGAGAUAGAUUAGUUUUACCCUACUGAUGAAAGUGUCGCAAUAGUCAUUCAACCUAGUACGAGAGGAACCAUUGAUUUGCACAAUUGGUCAUCGUGCUUGGUUUUAAAGCCAGUAGCGCGAAGCUACCGUGCGCUGGAUUGUGACUGAACGCCUCUAAGUCAGAAUCCGGGCUAGAAGCAACGCACGCUCCCGCCGCCCGAUCGCUAACCAGCAGUAGGGGCCCUCGGCCCCCAAGGGCACGCUUCGUUGGCCAAGCCCUCACAACCGAGCCGUUGUGCGGGCUGCCUUGAAGUGUUAUUUCAACCAAGC